GCUCAGAUUGAACGCUAGCGGGAUGCCUUACACAUGCAAGUCGAACGGCAGCACGGACUUCGGUCUGGUGGCGAGUGGCGAACGGGUGAGUAAUGUAUCGGAACGUGCCUAGUAGCGGGGGAUAACUACGCGAAAGCGUAGCUAAUACCGCAUACGCCCUACGGGGGAAAGCAGGGGAUCGCAAGACCUUGCACUAUUAGAGCGGCCGAUAUCGGAUUAGCUAGUUGGUGGGGUAACGGCUCACCAAGGCGACGAUCCGUAGCUGGUUUGAGAGGACGACCAGCCACACUGGGACUGAGACACGGCCCAGACUCCUACGGGAGGCAGCAGUGGGGAAUUUUGGACAAUGGGGGAAACCCUGAUCCAGCCAUCCCGCGUGUGCGAUGAAGGCCUUCGGGUUGUAAAGCACUUUUGGCAGGAAAGAAACGUCAUGGGCUAAUACCCCGUGAAACUGACGGUACCUGCAGAAUAAGCACCGGCUAACUACGUGCCAGCAGCCGCGGUAAUACGUAGGGUGCAAGCGUUAAUCGGAAUUACUGGGCGUAAAGCGUGCGCAGGCGGUUCGGAAAGAAAGAUGUGAAAUCCCAGAGCUUAACUUUGGAACUGCAUUUUUAACUACCGAGCUAGAGUGUGUCAGAGGGAGGUGGAAUUCCGCGUGUAGCAGUGAAAUGCGUAGAUAUGCGGAGGAACACCGAUGGCGAAGGCAGCCUCCUGGGAUAACACUGACG
rnacentral:rRNA from 3 species